UACAGGGGGGCAAGCGUUGUUCGGAAUUACUGGGCGUAAAGGGCUCGUAGGCGGCCAACUAAGUCCGACGUGAAAUCCCAAAGCUUAACUUUGGAACUGCCUCUGAUACAGCAAGUCUUGAGUCCGGAAGAGGUGGGUGGAAUUCCUAGUGUAGAGGUGAAAUUCGUAGAUAUUAGGAAGAACACCGGUGGCGAAGGCGGCCCACUGGUCCGG
rnacentral:rRNA from 1 species